UACGAAGGGGGCUAGCGUUGCUCGGAAUCACUGGGCGUAAAGCGCACGUAGGCGGAUUGUUAAGUCAGGGGUGAAAUCCUGGAGCUCAACUCCAGAACUGCCUUUGAUACUGGCGAUCUCGAGUCCGGGAGAGGUGAGUGGAACUCCUAGUGUAGAGGUGGAAUUCGUAGAUAUUAGGAAGAACACCAGUGGCGAAGGCGGCUCUCUGGGCCUUACCUGACGCUGAGGAGCGAAAGCGUGGGUAGCGAACAGG
rnacentral:rRNA from 1 species